rnacentral:tRNA from 1 species
GGCUAUGUAGCUCAGUUGGUCAGAGCACAGCACUCAUAAUGCUGGAGUCACGGGUUCGAUCCCCGUCGUAGCCA